rnacentral:tRNA from 1 species
GGGGUUGUAGCUCAGUGGUAGAGCGCAUGCUUUGCAUGUAUGAUGUCCUGGGUUCAAUCCGCCGCUUCUCCA